GGACGAACGCUGGCGGCGUGCUUAACACAUGCAAGUCGAGCGGUAAGGCCCCUUCGGGGGUACACGAGCGGCGAACGGGUGAGUAACACGUGGGUGACCUGCCCUCAGCUCUGGGAUAAGCCUGGGAAACCGGGUCUAAUACUGGAUAUGACUCCAUGACGCAUGUUGUGGGGUGGAAAGCCUUGUGCGGCUGAGGAUGGGCCCGCGGCCUAUCAGCUUGUUGGUGGGGUGANGGCCUACCAAGGCGACGACGGGUAGCCGGCCUGAGAGGGCGACCGGCCACACUGGGACUGAGACACGGCCCAGACUCCUACAGGAGGCAGCAGUGGGGAUCUUGCGCAAUGGGCGAAAGCCUGACGCAGCGACGCCGCGUGAGGGAUGACGGCCUGG
rnacentral:rRNA from 1 species